UAAAAAGGGUUUUCCAAAAGGACCAUUUAUAAUCGAAAUACAAAACUUCACACACGAUUUUGAGCACAACAGAGCGCUCAGUGAACAUCACUUCCGGGACCUGCAGCAUCAGAGGGGGACAUCUAUCUUGGCCACAAACCAUCUUUGACAGUCUUCGGCAGCAUGGUUGAAUCAGGCGCAUCAACACAUGAUAUAGACAUCGUGUCCAAAAGAAGAGCGAGACGUAAUCCUGAGGCUGAAGCCACCGAGUUUAUUUGAUCUGGAUGUGACAAGUCUUGUUUUAAGGCCCAGUGGAUCAAUGAUUGGAAAGACACCAACUGUUGAUGUUCUAUCUCAACAUUCUCCAGAUUCAUGUGAGCGAUAAACCGACUUCAUUACUUGACUAUUUUACUAUCCAUCCAUCCAUCCAUUUUCUACUACCUGUCCCUUUUUUGGGUUGGCGGGGUGUGCUUGAGCCUAUCUGAGCUGCAUUCGGGCGGAAGGCGGAGUACACCCUGGACAAGUCGCCACCUCAUUACACGGCCAACACAAAUAGACAACAUUUA